AUCCAGUUGACGAGUCCAAAAUAAGACGCAACACAUGUCAAACUAGAU
rnacentral:hammerhead_ribozyme from 1 species